UGAUUAUUAUUAUUAUUUAUUAGUUCAUGUCAAGCAUAUUCUUCAUUUGAUUCCCACUCACCAAUAUCUUGGCUGCCCUUCAUUUGGUCCACUUAGGAUGUCAAAAUCCGACACAAAAGUAAUGUAGUCCUAAUCGCAGCCCUUAACUUGUUGGGGUCUUUAUCGAAAAACCAACUAUAAUAUCUAGAUGAUAUAAAGCCAACUUUACUGUCAACCCAAUCCAACCUAUAUUUCACACAAAUCACCACUUCAUUACUUACUUACACUCCAAGGUUGAAGAUAUGGUUGGUACAAGGAGGGCAACGAUCAACGGCGAAAUUCACUCUCAGAGAAUUGUUGGCCGUCGGCUUCCCAAGAGGGGUCAAGUCAAGAUAGCUAUUGUGUUGGGUCUCGCCCAUUCUUUUGCUUCAUUUUCUAGAUGAAUAAAAAGGCCAGAUUUUUCUCGGAAAUCCUAGCUUCAUUUUGUAACAUUUUUUUUAACGCAGGCGGCUGUAUUGCAGUAAUUGUACAUUGAAUGUCUUGAUUAUCAAUGAAAACGAAUCUAUUAUU
rnacentral:lncRNA from 1 species